AGGGUUUGAUUCUGGCUCAGGACGAACGCUGGCGGCGUGCCUAACACAUGCAAGUCGAGCGGAGAUGUCGGAAGAGCUUGCUCGGAAGACAUUUCAGCGGCGGACGGGUGAGUAACGCGUGAGCAACCUGCCCUCCACAGGGGGAUAACGCAUCGAAAGAUGCGCUAAUACCGCAUGAGACCACAGAGCGACAUCGCUCAGGGGUCAAAGGAGUAAUCCGGUGGAAGAUGGGCUCGCGUCUGAUUAGCUGGUUGGUGAGGUAACGGCCCACCAAGGCGACGAUCAGUAGCCGACCUGAGAGGGUGAUCGGCCACAUUGGAACUGAGAGACGGUCCAA
rnacentral:rRNA from 1 species